CAGUAGCCGCGGUAAUACAGUGGGUGCGAGCGUUAAUCGGAUUUACUGGGCGUAAAGCGUGCGUAGGCGGCUUUUUAAGUCGGAUGUGAAAUCCCUGAGCUUAACUUAGGAAUUGCAUUCGAUACUGGGAAGCUAGAGUAUGGGAGAGGAUGGUAGAAUUCCAGGUGUAGCGGUGAAAUGCGUAGAGAUCUGGAGGAAUACCGAUGGCGAAGGCAGCCAUCUGGCCUAAUACUGACGCUGAGGUACGAAAGCAUGGGGAGCAAACAGGAUUAGAUACCCCGGUAGUCCCUGUCUCUUAUAC
rnacentral:rRNA from 1 species